rnacentral:rRNA from 1 species
AUACGGAGGGUGCAAGCGUUAUCCGGAAUCAUUGGGUUUAAAGGGUCCGUAGGCGGACUAUUAAGUCAGAGGUGAAAUCCCACAGCUCAACUGUGGAACUGCCUUUGAUACUGGUAGUCUUGAGUUAUAUGGAAGUAGAUAGAAUGUGUAGUGUAGCGGUGAAAUGCAUAGAUAUUACACAGAAUACCGAUUGCGAAGGCAGUCUACUACGUAUAUACUGACGCUAAGGGACGAAGGCGUGGGUAGCGAACAGGAUUAGAUACCCGGGUAGUCC